ACGAACGCUGGCGGCGUGCCUAAUACAUGCAAGUAGAACGCUGAAGAGAGGAGCUUGCUCUUCUUGGAAGAGUUGCGAACGGGUGAGUAACGCGUAGGUAACCUGCCUUGUAGCGGGGGAUAACUAUUGGAAACGAUAGCUAAUACCGCAUAACAAUGGGUGACCCAUGUCAUUCAUUUGAAAGGGGCAACUGCUCCACUACAAGAUGGACCUGCGUUGUAUUAGCUAGUAGGUGAGGUAACGGCUCACCUAGGCGACGAUACAUAGCCGACCUGAGAGGGUGAUCGGCCACACUGGGACUGAGACACGGCCCAGACUCCUACGGGAGGCAGCAGUAGGGAAUCUUCGGCAAUGGGGGCAACCCCUGACCGAGCAACGCCGCGUGAGUGAAGAAGGUUUUCGGAUCGUAAAGCUUCUGUUG
rnacentral:rRNA from 1 species